GGAGAGGUGGCAGAGUGGUUGAAUGCGGCGGUCUCGAAAACCGUUUCCCGUUUACUCGGGACGGGGGUUCGAAUCCCUCCCUCUCCG
rnacentral:tRNA from 1 species